GAUGAACGCUGACAGCAUGCUUAACACAUCAGCAAUUGAUUGGUGGCGGACGGGUGAGUAACGCGUAAAGAACUUGCCUCACAGGUAGGGACAACAUUUGGAAACGAAUGCUAAUACCUAAUACUGUGAGAGAGCUUUGCGUCCCAUUAGCUAGUUGGAGAGGUAACGGCUCACCAAGGCGAUGAUGGGUAGCCGGCCUGGGAGGGUGAUCGGCCACAAGGGGACUGGGACACGGCACGUACGCCUACGGGAGGAAGGAGUGGGGAAUAUUGAAAAAAGGACCAAAGUCUGAUCCAGGAAUUCGGAGUGCAAGAUGAAGUUUUCGGAAUGAAAAGUGCUUUCAGAUGGGAAGCGGUACCAACAGAAGAAGUGACGGCUAAAUACGUGCCAGCAGCCGCGGUAAUUC
rnacentral:rRNA from 1 species